rnacentral:rRNA from 2 species
CCAUGCAUGUCUCAGUGCAAACUGAACUAAAGUGAAACCGCGAAUGGCUCAUUAAAUCAGUUAUGGUUCCUUGGAUCCUACUUAUCCUACUUGGAUAACUGUGGUAAUUCUAGAGCUAAUACAUGCAACUUGAGCCUGGCCCGGAAACGGGUGAGGCGCACUUAUUAGAUCAAAACUAAUCGGUCGGCGUCCCUUCGGGGGCGCCGGCCGUCUGUGAUGGUGACUCUGAAUAAAUCCACUGCUGAUCGCACGGCCCUCGCGCCGGCGACGUAUCUUUCGAAUGUCUGCCUUAUCAACUGUCGAUGGUAGGUUCUGCGCUUACCAUGGUUGUAACGGGUAACGGGGAAUCAGGGUUCGAUUCCGGAGAGGGAGCCUGAGAAACGGCUACCACAUCCAAGGAAGGCAGCAGGCGCGCAAAUUACCCACUCCCGGCACGGGGAGGUAGUGACGAAAAAUAACGAUACGGGACUCAUCCGAGGCCCCGUAAUCGGAAUGAGAACACUUUAAAACUUUUAACGAGUACCUAAUGGAGGGCAAGUCUGGUGCCAGCAGCCGCGGUAAUUCCAGCUCCAUUGGCGUAUAUUAAAGUUGUUGCGGUUAAAAAGCUCGUAGUUGGAUCUGUGUAUCGGACGGUCGGUUCGCCGCUCGCGGCGUUCAACUGACCGGUCCGGACGUCCUGCCGGUGGGCGCGCUCGGCCCUUCGCGGGGCCGGGCCGCCCGUUAACCUUCCCUCCGCGCUGCCUUUAACCGGGUGGUGCGGUGGGCCGGCACGUUUACUUUGAACAAAUUUGAGUGCUCAAAGCAGGCCUCGAGUCGCCUGAAAACUGUGUGCAUGGAAUAAUGGAAUAGGGCCUCUUUUCUAUUUUGUUGGCUUUUCUGAAAUAGAGGUAAUGAUUAAUAGGGACAGACGGGGGCAUUCGUAUUGCGACGUUAGAGGUGAAAUUCUUGGGAUCGUCGCAAGACGGACGGAUGCGAAAGCGUUUGCCAAGAAUGUUUUCGCUAAUCAAGAACGAAAGUUAGAGGUU